GCGGGUAGCGCAGGUCGCUAGUCAGCCUUCCAAGCUUACGAUCAGGGUUCGAUUCCCUGUAUCCGCUCCA
rnacentral:tRNA from 1 species